rnacentral:rRNA from 1 species
AGACGUCAAUCAUCAUGCCCCUUAUGUCCUGGGCUACACACGUAAUACAAUGGCGGUCAACAGAGGGAUGCAAAGCCGUAAGGUGGAGCGAACCCCUAAAAGCCGUCCCAGUUCAGAUUGUGGGCUGCAACCCGCCCACAUGAAGUCGGAAUCGCUAGUAAUCGCGGAUCAGCAUGCCGCGGUGAAUACGUUCCCGGGCCUUGUACACACCGCCCGUCACACCAUGAGAGUCGGGAACACCCGAAGCCCGUAGCCUAACCUAACGGAGGGCGCGGUCGAAGGUGGGUUCGAUAAUUGGGGUGAAGUCGUAACAGGUAACCGUGA